rnacentral:rRNA from 1 species
CCUACGGGUGGCAGCAGUCGAGAAUCAUUCACAAUGGGGGAAACCCUGAUGGUGCGACGCCGCGUGGGGGAAUGAAGGUCUUCGGAUUGUAAACCCCUGUCAUGUGGGAGCAAAUUAAAAAGAUAGUACCACAAGAGGAAGAGACGGCUAACUCUGUGCCAGCAGCCGCGGUAAUACAGAGGUCUCAAGCGUUGUUCGGAAUCACUGGGCGUAAAGCGUGCGUAGGCUGUUUCGUAGGUCGUGUGUGAAAGGCGCGGGCUCAACCCGCGGACGGCACAUGAUACUGCGAGACUAGAGUAAGGGAGGGGGAACCGGAAUUCUCGGUGUAGCAGUGAAAUGCGUAGAUAUCGAGAGGAACACUCGUGGCGAAGGCGGGUUCCUGGACAUUAACUGACGCUGAGGCACGAAGGCCAGGGGAGCGAAAGGGAUUAGAUACCCGUGUAGUC